ACCACGGCUUGAGUUGGAGGAAGAGGAGGAGAGUGACUCCUCAAUGUUGUGCAGUUGUAUCUAGCAUCAAUGCACCACAAUGAAAAUGCAUCACAGGAGCAAGCUACGACUUCUGCAGGGCAGGCGAAGAGUGGGGAAGGUGUUGUGAAGGCCGUGAAAACAGAUCCAACAUUCAACUAUGUACAUGACCUCAUGAGGCUGCUCAUGGAGGUUUUUGAGGACCCAACAUCAUUUGAAGAGGAAAUGAAGACUAUCCCCAUCCCUCCAGACCUUUCAGCGGAAUAUACACACACUCCCAAGGCUGAGCUGGUUGCCUGUCACGUCUCCCGCUUCAAUCAAGAGGUGGUCUGAAGCCUACGAAGUCACCAGAUGGGAACUGCUGCCAUAUCCGCUGCACCACACAUGACGGGAUGACGACCCGACAACUAUGUCCUAAAUAUCCCCAACACCAGGUUACAAAGCUGCGAUAGGCAAGAUGCCUGAAACGCCUAAGGGACAAGGAGCGGAACUUUCUGUUAAACUGUUUUCAACAAUAACCUCUUAUAGGCUGGGCCUAUACUGGGCAGCCCCCACCU